GGCCCAAUAGUAUAGUCGUAUUAUACUCCCUUCGGGAAAGUCUCGACACCCUCAGGGGAGCCCUGAGCACUGGGAGAGGUCCCGGGUUCAAUUCCCGGUUGGGCCC